GAACUUUCCAGAGAUGGAUUGGUGCCUUCGGGAACUGUGAGACAGGUGCUGCAUGGCUGUCGUCAGCUCGUGUUGUGAAAUGUUGGGUUAAGUCCCGCAACGAGCGCAACCCUUAUCCUUUGUUGCCAGCGGUCCGGCCGGGAACUCAAAGGAGACUGCCAGUGAUAAACUGGAGGAAGGUGGGGAUGACGUCAAGUCAUCAUGGCCCUUACGACCAGGGCUACACACGUGCUACAAUGGCGCAUACAAAGAGAAGCGACCUCGCGAGAGCAAGCGGACCUCAUAAAGUGCGUCGUAGUCCGGAUUGGAGUCUGCAACUCGACUCCAUGAAGUCGGAAUCGCUAGUAAUCGUGGAUCAGAAU
rnacentral:rRNA from 1 species